AUUGAACGCUAGAGGGAUGCUUUACACAUGCAAGUCGAACGGAGUGGCGGACGGGUGAGUAAUAUAUCGGAACGUGCCCAGUAGCGGGGGAUACCUAAUCGAAAGAGUGGAUAAUAACGCAUACAAUUGUAGCGGCCGAUAUCGGAUUCGUGAGUUGGUGGGGUAAAGGCUCACCAAGGCAACGAUCCGUAGCUGGUGUGAGAGGACGACCAGCCACACUGGGACUGAGACACGGCCCAUACUCCUACGUGAGGCAGCAGUGGGUAAUUGUGGACAAUGGGUGAAACCCUGAUCCAGCCAUCCCGCGUGUAUGAUGAAGGCCUUCGGGUUGUAAAGUACUUUUGGCAGAGAAGCGGUAUCUGCAGAAUAAGCACCGGCUAACUACGUGCCAGCAGCCGCGGUAAUAC
rnacentral:rRNA from 1 species